AUACGGGGGGUGCAAGCGUUAUUCGGAAUCACUGGGCGUAAAGGGCGCGCAGGCGGUUUGGUAAGUCAGAUGUGAAAGCCCGGGGCUCAACCCCGGAAGUGCAUUUGAUACUGCCUGACUUGAGUAUGGGAGAGGGAAGUGGAAUUCCUGGUGUAGAGGUGAAAUUCGUAGAUAUCAGGAGGAACACCGGUGGCGAAGGCGACUUCCUGGACCAAUACUGACGCUGAGGCGCGAAGGCGUGGGGAGCAAACAGGAUUAGAAACCCUAGUAGUCC
rnacentral:rRNA from 1 species